CGUGCCUGUACACCGGCGUCUGCAGGCGAUCCGCGUCGGUCGCGCGAGUGGUAUGGUUCCGCAGAGCCGGUUCUUGUGCUGCCUACCCCUUCAGGGGAAGCGGGCCACUUGAUGUAAGCCUCCAUCCGGCGCCCUCCAACGGCGCAGGAGGACAACAGAGCACACCCCGCGUACCACCGAGCCUUCGUCGGUCGCGUGGCGCGCGGGGACGUGCGAUGUUCUCGUACCCAGCGAACGCCGUGGGCGAGGACUCACGUCCCAGUCCCGAUAGAAGCUUCGAUAUAAUGCUGACGGCCGCUCCCGCCCCCCGACCGCCCGGCGGCGCGUGGCGAGGCGCGCGUCGCGGAGGAAUGCUACCU
rnacentral:misc_RNA from 1 species